rnacentral:misc_RNA from 1 species
GGGCUUGGUCUUCCAAAUCUUGAGGGCAUGUUGGGUGCAACACCAGAUGCCGCUGGUUUGAAUCAGUUGAUGCAAAACCCAGCUAUUUCACAAAUGAUGCAAAGUGUUAUGUCAAACCCUCAAUAUAUGAACCAGAUCCUUGGUCUCAACCCUCAAUUGCGUGGCUUGCUUGAUUCCAAUCCUCAGCUCAGAGAGAUGAUGCAGAAUCCUGAAUUUUUACGUCAGUUGACCUCCCCUGAUACAAUGCAGC